rnacentral:rRNA from 1 species
GGAAUAACAUUCUGAAAAGAAUGCUAAUACCGCAUAAUAUAUAUUUAUCGCAUGGUAGAUAUAUCAAAGAUUUAUCGCUUAGAGAUGGACUCGCGUCCGAUUAGUUAGUUGGUGAGGUAACGGCUCACCAAGACCGCGAUCGGUAGCCGGACUGAGAGGUUGAACGGCCACAUUGGGACUGAGACACGGCCCAGACUCCUACGGGAGGCAGCAGUGGGGGAUAUUGCGCAAUGGGGGAAACCCUGACGCAGCAACGCCGCGUGAAGGAUGAGGGUCUUCGGAUUGUAAACUUCUUUUAUUAAGGACGAAGAAAGUGACGGUACUUAAUGAAUAAGCUCCGGCUAACUACGUGCCAGCAGCCGCGGUAAUACGUAGGGAGCAAGCGUUGUCCGGAUUUACUGGGUGUAAAGGGUGCGUAGGCGGCUUUGCAAGUCAGAUGUGAAAUCUAUGGGCUCAACCCAUAGCCUGCAUUUGAAACUGCAGAGCUUGAGUGAAGUAGAGGCAGGCGGAAUUCCCCGUGUAGCGGUGAAAUGCGUAGAGAUGGGGAGGAACACCAGUGGCGAAGGCGGCCUGCUGGGCUUUAACUGACGCUGAGGCACGAAAGCGUGGGUAGCAAACAGGAUUAGAUACCCUGGUAGUCCACGCUGUAA